rnacentral:misc_RNA from 1 species
UUGUAGUAUCUGCCUGAGAAUUUCUUGAAAAACUGAUCGCGAGCUAGUAAAAAAAAAUGUUCAGUCGUUCCACAACAUUCUCUCUCCUUCCUCGUUGUGCUAUCACACAGAACUCUGAAUUUUGCAGUCUACUUCCUUUGAGCUUUUCAACUCUCUGGGGCGGUGAAGUUCAUCCAUUUCUCCAAGAGAAGAGAAAAGAUAGGGAAGCAACAUCAUAUGAAGUCAUGUGAACACAACUUUUGUCCCUGUAGGGAGGACAAUUGUAUUUUUCCCUCAGAAAUGAACUUUAAUAUAGAAAUAUGUCAUGGGCAUUUCGAAUCAGAAAGGAACUUCAAUAUAGAAAUAUGUCAUGGGCAUUUCGAAUCAGAAAGGAACUUC